rnacentral:rRNA from 1 species
UACGGAGGGAGCAAGCGUUGCUCGGAAUUAUUGGGCGUAAAGGGUAGGUAGGUGGUCUUAUUUGUCUGGGGUGAAAGCCUUGAGCUUAACUCGAGAAGUGCCCCAGAAACGGUAAGACUGGAGUCCUGGAGAGGGUCGUGGAAUUCCCGGUGUAGCGGUGAAAUGCGUAGAGAUCGGGAGGAACACCAGAGGCGAAAGCGGCGACCUGGACAGGCACUGACACUCAACUACGAAAGCGUGGGGAGCAGACAGG